rnacentral:rRNA from 1 species
AUUGAACGCUGGCGGCAGGCCUAACACAUGCACGUCGAGCGGAGCGGCGGACGGGUGCGUAAUGCCUAGGAAUCUGCCUGGUAGUGGGGGAUAACGUCCGGAAACGGGCGCUAAUACCGCAUACUCUCAGAUGAGCCUAGGUCGGAUUAGCUAGUUGGUUGGGUAAAGGCCUACCAAGGCGACGAUCCGUAACUGGUCUGAGAGGAUGAUCAGUCACAAUUGAACUGAGACACGGUACAGACUCCUACGGGAGGCAGCAGUGGGGAAUAGUGGACAAUGGGCGAAAGCCUGAUCCAGCCAUGCCGCGUGUGUGAAGAAGGGCGUCGGAUUGUAAAGCACUUUAAGUUGGGAGGCGUUACCAACAGAAGAAGCACCGGCUAACUUCGUGCCAGCAGCCGCGGUAAUUC